UACGGAGGGUGCAAGCGUUGUCCGGAAUCACUGGGCGUAAAGGGCGCGUAGGCGGCUCAUGAAGGCUGUGGUGAAAGCCCGGGGCUCAACCUCGGAUCGGCCGUGGCGACUCGUGGGCUGGAGCACUGUAGAGGCGGGUGGAAUUCCGGGUGUAGCGGUGGAAUGCGUAGAGAUCCGGAAGAACACCAGUGGCGAAGGCGGCCCGCUGGGCAGUGGCUGACGCUGAGGCGCGACAGCGUGGGGAGCAAACAGG
rnacentral:rRNA from 1 species